AGUGGAUCAAGGCAGUGGAUUGUGAAUCCACCAUGCGCGGGUUCAAUUCCCGUCGUUCGCCGCGGAUGUAGCCA
rnacentral:tRNA from 1 species